GGCACUGUAGCUCAGGGGCAAAGCAUCUGCUUUGCAUGCAGAAGGUUGCUGGUUCAAUUCCUGUCAGCUCCA